rnacentral:rRNA from 1 species
ACGAACGCUGGCGGCGUGCCUAAUCCAUGCCAGUCGAGCGGACUUUCAAGAAGCUUGCUUUUUGAAAGUUAGCGGCGGACGGGUGAGUAACACGUGGGCAACCUGCCUGCAAGACGGGGAUAACUCCGGGAAACCGGGGCUAAUACCGGAUAAUAUCUUCCUUCGCAUGAAGGAAGGUUGAAAGGCGGCGCAAGCUGCCGCUUGCAGAUGGGCCCGCGGCGCAUUAGCUAGUUGGUGAGGUAACGGCUCACCAAGGCGACGAUGCGUAGCCGACCUGAGAGGGUGAUCGGCCACACUGGGACUGAGACACGGCCCAGACUCCUACGGGAGGCAGCAGUAGGGAAUCUUCCGCAAUGGACGAAAGUCUGACGGAGCAACGCCGCGUGAGCGAAGAAGGUCUUCGGAUCGUAAAGCUCUGUUGUCAGGGAAGAACAAGUACCGUUCGAACAGGGCGGUACCUUGACGGUACCUGACCAGAAAGCCACGGCUAACUACGU